AUCCGGGAAAAAUAGUGAAUCCGAAUCUAAAUCGAAGAUCCAAAAAAGAAAAAAAAUCUAAGUCGAAAUCCAAAUCCAAAUCCCAAUUGGGUACUAAAAUUACAAUCUCUUUUUCAGAUUUGAUAUGGGUUCGGGUCGGAUAUUAAUCGAUCCAUCAAAGUGUAAAGCUCACACAAAAGGUGAAACGCUCGCGGGGGUUUCAAUUCCAGCAAGAGUAGAAUACAGUGUAGAAUGCAAAUUUUAGUUCAUGAUAGAUUACAAUUUCAAAUUAAAAUAACAUAUUUUUUGUACUCCCAUGAAAGGGGUAAAAUAUUUUUUCUAAAAUAUACUAUUUAUUCCGGAGGAAGAGAAAAUGUAGAAAAAGAGAAAAAAAAGAAAAGAAAAGAGAAAUCGCAAUCUCUCUCCCUCAGUCUCUACUGGUCUACUGGAAGAGAAAUGGAGCUUUUUAGACGGGAAAAGAAGAAAAUGGUACCAAAUAUGAGGGCAAUUACAGUGGUGAAGAAAAUUCUGGUGGCAGUGUACGAAGGAUUACGCCAGUAAGAUUUGUGCUGCUUCCACAGGCAAGCCAUGCAUUGCGUGAGGAAUGGCUGCGAGUAUUUGGUUGGGAAGAAAAGGUCUUUUGAACCUGGGGGAGGGUUACUUAGUUCACUGAUCAAAGCUUUGUUUCUCCUGCAGCAAUAAGUGAUUAUUAGUUUAGGCAAUGAAUUGAUACUGGCGAUUAUCAGUCAUGAAGAAUGCGCAUUAUUACCUGUAGAGAUCAGAAUUUCUGUAUAUUUCUGCAAAGUUAAUCCCCAAAAUUUCUUCCUGGGCCAGGGUAGUCACCUCUAACAUCCACGUUGCUGGGUUGUACCCAUCCUUUAUUCUUUUUACUCCUUCAAUUCCCUGGAUUUAGCAGUGCAAUUAAUGCCGAUGAUAUGAGUAUUAACGUCAUCGCAUUAAAUAAGAAAGAAACCAGUUCAAUAGUUUUGUUAUAUAAGUUAUCCCUACCUCAAAGUAGUUGAUCAGAUGGCAUGAAUUACGCCCUACGGGCCCAACAUAUAUUUCUUCUCCUCCUCUUUUCAUUAGGAAUAGCUGCAAUGGUGCAAGAAAAGAAAUAUGAGUACCAGUAUGAACAUGCUAAGGUAUCUUGAAAUUCUUUUCUCAAUUACAGUGGCCCACCUCGUCGAAAGCUUCAAAGAUGUCGAUGCUGGGCUGGUGGAUUGUACAUACAACUGUUCUGCCUGUAUCAACAGUGUUUCUCACGGUUCUCAUUACAAUUGCAGCUGCCCUUGCAUCUAAUCCGGAAGUUGGUUCAUCCAUGAAUAUGAUCGAUGGAUUAGCAACAAGCUCAACAGCAAUUGUGAGCCUCUUUCUCUGUUCAGUUGAUAAGCCAUUUACUCCGGGCAAUCCAACUAGUGCGCCCCUCAGAGAAAGUCAACUUCAGUGGGUAGGCGAAGCCACGCGGAGUAAAGAAGGGAUUCAUAGACUGUGACAUGUGGGGAGUGAAUAUCAUUUUGUUCACAAUAUCCUGCGACCCGAGCAAAUGUUUCCUGUUUUUUGGGAUACCCAGAUAUGCAAAUAUUUCCUUCUAUAUAACCUCCAGUUUUCCGCCCUGCCAAUACAUCCAUUAGUGUUGUCUUUCCUGCUCCGCUUACUCCCAUUAAAGCUGUAAGAACUCCUGGCCUGAAGGCUCCACUGACUCCCUUUAGCAGUACUAGACGGUCAUCCAUCACACCUUUGUCUUUCAUUUCCUGCGAGGAAAGGUUUUCAUAUUUAUUUCUUAGCGUUUUAUAUUUUCACAAAAUAACAAAAGGAUAUUUGGUGAUUUUCGAGGUUACUAUACCUGAGGCAUGUCAACAGAGUAUUUAAUGUUGUCAAAGGUGAUUGAAAGAGGAGAAAAUGGAAGCACCAUUCCCUUUUUCUUGUUCUCAGCUGCAAUAAUUUGACCACCUCUUCCUACAUUUUAUGUCAAUUCAUCAGGAUGUCACGGACAGUUCUCUGAAAAUGGGAACUUUUUACAUUUAUCCCUGAAAAAUUAUCUGUUUGCAUAUGUAUCUCUGUAACAAUUUAAAAUGUAAGAAACUACGUUUUUGAAGGCAUACAUGAAGUUCAGACUUUGUAUGCAAAUAGAUAAUUUUGCAGAUUCAUAUAUGUAUUCUGAAUGAUGCUUGCUAAUUUUGCAGGUGCACAUAUGUAUUCCAAAUGAUGUUGCUUGAGAGUUGAGACUAACCUUCUGAUAAUACUGGCUUAGAAGAGUCAGCUCCGGCCGGUAUUAAACAAGAAAUUAGCACUAGAAGAUACAGAAUUUACAGCAACUGAAGGAUAUACAAUCGAUCAAGUGAAUACUCACGGUCAAGCCAGUCGAGGAAGAGAACAAAGAGGAUGUUGAAGAGGAAAAUAUAUCCAAGCAAUGCACCGACUCCAAUCCAAUACCAGUUAGAAUCCACAAAGAUCCCACGAGCUUUUAGUAUUUGGACUCCUAGUGUGUCAUUGCUUGCUGUUGCAUUGACAACCUACAAUAAAAUUAGUUAAUUUUAUUUUUUCUUUGGAAAAAAAACAAUCAUUUUUUAUUUUGCAAUUUGGAUUUUUUUUUGGGGCAACUUUGGACCAAAAUCUCAUUUAUAAACUGAUUUUCUUGCUCUC